GACGAACGCUGGCGGCGUGCUUAACACAUGCAAGUCGAACGGAAAGGCCCUGCUUGCAGGGUACUCGAGUGGCGAACGGGUGAGUAACACGUGGGUGAUCUGCCCUGCACUUCGGGAUAAGCCUGGGAAACUGGGUCUAAUACCGGAUAUGACCUUCCAUGUAGUGUGGGGGGUGGAAAGAUUUAUCGGUGUGGGAUGAGCCCGCGGCCUAUCAGCUUGUUGGUGGGGUAAUGGCCUACCAAGGCGUCGACGGGUAGCCGGCCUGAGAGGGUGGACGGCCACAUUGGGACUGAGAUACGGCCCAGACUCCUACGGGAGGCAGCAGUGGGGAAUAUUGCACAAUGGACGGAAGCCUUAUGCAGCGACGCCGCGUGGGGGAUGACGGCCUUCGGGUUGUAAACCUCUUUCGACAGGGACGAAGCUUCGGUGACGGUACCUGUAUAAGAAGCACCGGCUAACUACGUG
rnacentral:rRNA from 1 species